CCCAGGAGCAUUGUGGGUGGACGGGGGGAACGGGUGACCGGUGGUACCUCCUGUGCAUGGUCUCUGGCCCGUCCAGGACCGAGGGUGAAAGGCAAGCAGAGAAGCCGGCUCAAGGCAGUCCCGCUGCAGGUUCCAUCAGAUUGAAGACAGGAUUGAGCUACUCAUUGCAAAAUUCCACCACUCCUGGGAAGGCCAAAAUCAGCAAGAAAAGCAGAUGGCAAACUUUCAUCAAAUGGUCUAGCUGUAUUUAAGUCUUUUUUAAAAAACUGAAUUCUGUAAAGAAAAUAUAUGCUUCUGGAUGGCUUGUGAAAACUUCCAAAAAAUCCACCCACCCAGAAGCUAUACUUAAAACCAAGGCAAAUAUAUACAGUCUAAGAAAAAGUCCCAAAAGAGGUAAGACAAAGUUCCCCAUUUCAGCGUAAAGUGUACACCCUUGGCACUGAGAAGCAGCAAAAGAAGUAAAAACAUAAGAUUAAAGCAAGGGUCAGGGAAUCUGAAAACUUCCCUGGUGUCUUAGCUUUCAACUAAGUAUCCCCAGACCUGGCAGGUGGAGCUCAUCACACGUUACAGCUUCUGAUUUUCACUUUCAAAGAGCAGAGCUCCGUUCUCUGACAAAGGAUAAUGAGUGAUCUUCUUUGUUUCAGAUGAACAUGCUUUCAAACCAAAACUCUUAUUAUCCAAAAUAUACAAGAAGCUACAACUCCUUGCUAUACAACUGCCUGAAAAGGGUGUACAGCAUGAUGUUUUACUUAUUUGAAAGGCAGAGUUACAGAGAAAAAGAGGGAGAGACAGAGAGAGGUCUUCAUCUGUUAGUUCACUCCCUAAAUGGCCACAGUAGCCAGGGCUGGGCCAGACUGAAGCCAGGAGCUUCCUCCAGGUCUCUCAUGUAGGGACAGAGGACCAGGUGCUUUACCCAGCAGGGAGCUGGGUAAGAAGUGGAGCAGCUGGGACUCAAACCAGCAUCCAUAUGGGAGGCUAGUGCUGCAGGCAGCAGUGUAACUUGCUAUGCCACAGCACCAGCCGCAGGAAGAACUCUAAUCCCUGUUGUUUGGAGUCAGAGUUCUAGUACGACUUGUGUGAAAAACCACAGAGCACCACAAAGCCCCAUCGUUGAUGAGAAAAAGGGAGCCCCAGAGUAGAGGACAUAUUCUGUUUCCUAAAACAGAAGUCUGUG